UACGGGGGGGGCAAGCGUUGUUCGGAAUUACUGGGCGUAAAGGGCGCGUAGGCGGUUCGUUGCGUCAGAUGUGAAAGCCCCGGGCUCAACCUGGGAACUGCAUUUGAUACGGGCGGGCUUGAAUCCAAGAGAGGGUGGUGGAAUUCCCAGUGUAGAGGUGAAAUUCGUAGAUAUUGGGAAGAACACCAGUGGCGAAGGCGGCCACCUGGCUUGGUAUUGACGCUGAGGCGCGAAAGCGUGGGGAGCGAACAGG
rnacentral:rRNA from 1 species